GUAAGUUCCGACCUGCACGAAUGGAGUAACGACUUUCCUACUGUCUCCACCACGAACUCGGCGAAAUUGCAGUACGAGUAAAGAUGCUCGUUACGCGCAGCAGGACGGAAAGACCCCGGGACCUUUACUAUAGUUUGGUAUUGGUGAUCGGUGCAGCUUGUGUAGGAUAGGUGGGAGACUGUGAAGCAUGCACGCCAGUGUGUGUGGAGUCAACGUUGAAAUACCACUCUGGUUGUUCUGGUUAUCUAACCUCGGACCAUGAUCUGGUUCAGGGACAGUGCCUGAUGGGUAGUUUGACUGGGGCGGUCGGCUCCAAAAAAGUAACGGA
rnacentral:rRNA from 1 species